GGAGGAGGAGGAGGGUGAUCCAACCCAGGACCAGGAGGAAGAAGAGGUGAACAAAGAGGACCCAGCAGAUGCUGCAUGGCCUUCAGCGAGUCAUGGCCAAGACGGGAGCCGAGCAGGUCAGCUUGUUGGAGCAUUGCCGAG